GCACUCUUGGUUUAGUGGUAAAAUCAGCGCUUCCCAUUCUUCGUUUGCGCUGGCCCCGGGUUCGAUUCCCGGAGGGUGCA
rnacentral:tRNA from 2 species